ensembl:lncRNA
AAGCGAAAGGGAACAAGACUUAUGACCCAUAAUCUGGUGGACUUGGCGAGGGUUCAUUUUACGGUCGAUGUGGGAAGGAGACCGUGAACCUUUUAUAAGAAGUAGGUGACUGUUGUUGACUGAGCUGAAAAAGGACUCACAGGCUUCAAGUGAACCUCGUUUCAGCUUCCCGUGGGAAACAAAUAUUGAGCCUCCUGCUAUUUUAAUAAUUGAUAACUGAUUAAUCCGAAGCCAUCGGUGUCAGACCACCGCAGAGCUUUCAUUUCCCACGACCUUUUCUACCUCUUCUUCAUGCUUGAUGUAAUAAACGUUUAAGGGAAAGAGUUUCUCUUCCCCGAGAUAACAGACAGACGCGUUCAUGAACGUAGUGAAUAAUAAAGCCGUCAGCGGGCCUUUGGUGUCUGUAGCUGAUAUCAUUUCAGGUUUAUGGGAAUUACCCAGCAGCCCCUCCUCCGGUCCUGUAUCUUUCCACUGAAACAAAGAAGCACAAGUCGGCUUUAGGGCUUUAAACCGGCGAGGAAUCAUGUAGUAGCGCGCGAUCGAGAGGAGGCCAGCGGCACCCGUCAGGUGGAGGCGUCACAGCUGGAUGCAGGAAGACUCGACACACCGAGUGACCGUCUGCUAAACACAACAAAAUACGAGCAUGUUCAAAGAAAUGCAUCGAAAUGCAGUGAAUCCACAUUUUGCAGUGAUGAACUUGUGCGUGUUGGUCACAGUAAAUGGAGGAAAGUGAUGUUCUCGCCUGCAGCCUCACGGCUUUGACCUUCGAACCCCCUGAAGGCCGUCUUCGUGUGAUCGGCAUGUUGUUGUGGAUGCGAGAUCCUUUCCGACGCUUCUUCCUCUUCCCGUCUCGUCACAGUGAAACGGCAAACGGGCAAAAGCAGCUUUGGGAAACAGAAACGGAUGAAUUACCUCAAGUACAAGUAAAGACUUCAUUCCACCCAUAAUCUGUCAUCUUUAAUCAAAGGGCGACCUUUGACCUUGUGCUGCUUCACCUGCUUCGACCCCCCAGGUGUGUGAUACUGAUCUGAUUCAUUGUCUGCAUCCGCCCGGCGUUUAACAGCUGUUUCCUCCUCACAAGCAGAAGGCCGAGGGGAGUCGGGUCAGUCCUGAUCCUCUAUGUGAACCAGUAUCACCAUAGUCCUGAUCCUCUAUGUGAACCAGCCUCACCGUAGUCCUGAUCCUCUAUGUGAACCGGUCUCACUGUAGUCCUGAUCCUCUAUGUGAACCAGCCUCACUGUAGUCCUGAUCCUCUAUGUGAACCAGUCUCACUGUAGUUCGAUGCUCUAUCCGGUUGCUACUGUGAAGUCCUGCAGGGUCCCGGUGACGGGAGGCGAGCGCAGCCUCACCCUCCUGCACGUGGAAAUAAAUGAAAUUCUUGCACCACGAGGGGACGAAGCCGCUGUCGGGAGGGAGUUUCGUGUUGCGCAGCAGUUGUUCUCGCUCUUCCUGAAACACUCCUCUGGAAUCUCUGGAAACCGGUCAGCCGAAUCUAAAAUUGGACCUCGGCCCUGUCCGUUAUUGUCCCCUGUCCGUCACACCCUUUUUCCACACACACGCACAGCUGUUUCUAAGCAGGGGGGGGGCAGCUGGCUGUGGGGAACGUGCACGGUGGGGGGGAACGUGCACGGUGGGGGGAACGUGCACGGUGGGGGGGAAACCCGGCGGAGCGUCCAGUGAACAGUGAAGAAGAUUCACGGCCGUCUCUCUGGUUCCCGUGAGGAGACUUUGGGACAUUUGUUACUGAUCGUCCAUUUCUUCAGUCUCUGCUUCUAUUGGUCCACUUGUAUUGUAUUACAUAUAUAUUCCUAUUAUAAUUUCAUGAAGAAUGGAUUGAUUACAUUGUCAGUAAAUAGAGAAUAAUGCCCUCGAUAGUUCUCAAAGUGACUCUAAAACUGAAACUCAUUCGCAAUUGACGAUGACAUAAAACCCCAAUAUUUAAUUAAAAUGAUGAAACGUACACAUAAAACAGCUAAUGCUAACUAGCGCUCCUCCUCCCGGGUUCAAGUGUGAGGAAACGUGUUUCUGCCGCAGCGCCGUAGGGACGUCGGGUUGAUGUACCCGCUUGGCCCCCAGCUCGUGUUUUAGUUUGGUCGCCUUCACCUUAAAUGAGCCACUCGAAGGCCUUGGACGCGUCCAUGUGGACAGCUGUGCUCUAAAUAUACGCAACGACUUCCUAACUUCAGGGAAAGAACAGAAAAAAAGAUUUCCUGUAACCGCAUCCCACAGCGAAUAAAAGGGAAAACCCACAGGAAAAACAGUGGCAACGUGCAGACGGCAGAGGUCACAGGUCACGUUUGAGUUGUUAUUGAUGAGCUGGCCAGCAGUGGUCUGUAGACUUGUCGAGGCUCUGCACAACGACAACAAACACAACAACAAACAAAGCUAUUUGGUUGCAAACAGGAAUAAAAGUUUAUUUUUUACUGUCGAACCUUGAGAGAAGAAUCUCUCCAUUCUCAACAAGUCACGUUGUGCAGAAUGAAGACAGCCUUCUGUCUCUGAAGACCAGUCAGGCGGUGUGUAGCCGGUGUGUAGGCGGUGUGUAGGCGGUGUGUAGGCGGUGUGAAGGCGGUGUGUAGGCGGUGUGAAGGCGGUGUGAAGGCGGUGUGUAGGAGGUGUGUAGGAGGUGUGUAGGAGGUGUGUAGGCGGUGUGAAGGCGGUGUGAAGGCGGUGUGUAGGAGGUGUGAAGGCGGUGUGAAGGCGGUGUGUAGGCGGUGUGUAGGCGGCGUGUAGGCGGCGUGUAGGCGGUGUGUAGGAGGUGUGAAGGUGGUGUGAAGGUGGCGUGAAGGUGGCGUGAAGGCGGCGUGAAGGCGGCGUGUAGGCGGCGUGUAGGCGGUGUGAAGGCGGCGUGUAGGCGGCGUGAAGGAGGUGUGAAGGCGGUGUGUAGGCGGUGUGAAGGCGGUGUGAAGGCGGUGUGUAGGCGGUGUGAAGGCGGUGUGUAGGAGGUGUGUAGGCGGUGUGAAGCCGGUGUGUAGGCGGCGUGAAGGCGGCGUGUAGGAGGCGUGUAGGCGGUGUGAAGGCGGUGUGUAGGCGGUGUGUAGGCGGCGUGUAGGAGGUGUGUAGGCGGCGUGUAGGCGGCGUGAAUGCGGCGUGUAGGCGGCGUGUAGGCGGCGUGUAGCCGGCGUGUAGGCGGCGUGUAGGCGGCGUGAAGGCGGCGUGUAGGCGGUGUGUAGGCGGUGUGAAGGCGAUGUGUAGGUGGUGUGUAGCCGGCGUGUAGGCGGCGUGUAGGCGGCGUGAAGGCGGUGUGAAGGCGGCGUGAAGGCGGUGUGAAGGCGGUGCUCCCGGUCGCUCCUCGCCGUGACGCGCUCCCUCCGGCAGCGAGGAACAAUAGGUGGAACCAGCUGCUGCAGGAGAGUCGGUGUUACUCUGUUUACGGACGCCGGCCUACGUCAGCUCUCCCAGCGUGGAGCAGCAGGGCCGAGGGCGCGGUUGUGUGUGUGCGUCUGUGUGCGUUUGCCUGUGUGUGACACGCUACAAAGAGGGUACCUGCCUACCUGGAAGGAGACCGAUACUCCCCGUUUACCUUCCACUGGGAGGGUGGUGGGUUAAAAGCGUAAACAACAACAACAACAACCAAGUUGCGUGCUUUUAUCUCUUGGCUCAGCUCACUGAUCAAAGGACGGCCGCCACAUAAAAAUAUCACACGGGAAUCAGGAAAUGUUUUCCACUUCUGUUAUAAUGCUGGGAAUCAACCCGGAUCAUAUUUAGUUUCCACUCAGAGAUUAUUUGUCUGUAACUGUGGGAGUCUGAUUAUGACCUUGAGCUCGACACAAAGAACGCUGAGUCACAGAAGAAGGUCACCGGAUUGACAAAUAUCAGAACCUUUGCUGUAAAAUGCAGGAAACAGCUCCGGUCUGAGGAAUGAAGUCAGCGCUUCGUGUGUUAAACGUGCAUUCUUUAAGUAAUCAGUAAUAACUGACAUCAAUUCAUCACAUAUCAUAUUUGUGACAGAUUCCCUUUUUCAUCGUUUUCAAGAUUUUAGCACCAAACAGGAAACACAAUACGGGGCCAUGUGAUUUUCCCUUAAAGAUGGCCGACUCUUUGACUCUUAGCUCCGCUAGCACCGUUAGCUGCUAGCAGCCGCGCACACGUCCGUGCACUGAGCUCGCUGCGAUGUUGCUUUUAAACGGAGGCGAUUGGCUGUGGGAAAAUUCACGCACUUCAUCUUCGUCGGAAAAGUUUGCACAAACUCGCCAAGAACCUUUGCAAUCGACACGAUUCCAUCCAUGUAGCAACGGCAACAUGAUAUCUAGCUCAUAGCUACUGGUCUUAAUGGUGGAUUACACACACUACUGUCCGUAGGGACAACAACAGUAAUGUCGGGGGGACAGAUGCCCCCCCCCCCCCCCCCCC